CUUCCCAGUAAUUGCUGCUCCCAGCUGCCAUCUUUGUUGUCUGACGUCACCGGCAAUGAGCGCAAAUGAGAGGAAACGUGUGACGCCCCCUGUGGGUGACCGAGGGUCGCAGGGAUCCGGAGCCUAUCAUGGAAACAAUGAGCACAGGGCGGGGAAUAAUCCAGGAAGGGGCGCCAGCCUAUUUCCAUGCACACUCACACAUCAUUAUCAAUCUUUUAAUGUGGUAGAUAUUCUAGAAUGGUUCCAGGUUCCCUGAACAUUGGUCAUUGAGCAUCUUUGGAUGUCUGCCAAACGUCACGCCUGAAAAUGAGCACUUACGCUCCGCUCUGGACUUGCAUGGAUCCGACCUCGUUGUUGCACCAGCCCAUGGCCUGCAGGGAGGAGAAGUCGUCGCACAUCUCGAACUGCCUCCCCAUGAAGUUCUCCCUCUCAAACGCAAUUAUCCUAGACUCCUUAUGACACUGCUCCCAAACAAAGAAAAGUGGAUUAUCCAGCAUGUCACAUAUGGCUAGGCAGAAAGGAUAAAGGCGAUGAGAUGCUCACCGCAGAGAAGAUGGGCCUGAAGGAGAUCAUCCUCUCUAUGUGGUAGGCGUUGCUGCCGCUCCAGGCCUCCCAGCGGGGAUACUCCCCCCUUUCCAUGACGAACUGCUGCCCGCAGAAGCUGGAGUGCUCGUAACCCACCCAGCUGCGGAGAGCGACAAGCCGGCAGGCCGGUGAAACGGGAUCGCCCCCCCCGACCCCCAAGCCCGGUGAGGCAGGGCAACACAGUGGCCCUCCCGCUGCGAUUGGGAACUCACGCGCCGCACUCCACCUUGAAGGAGCGGAUGUUGUCCAUGCCACACUCCAUGAUGUUGUGGCAGGCUGCAGUGAACUCCAUGCGUCUGCCCUGGAAGUGCUCCUGGUCGUAGACGGUGAUCUGGAAGGAGAUGUACGGAACAUGCGGUGCUUAAUGCACCUGGUGAUCUCAGCAUGCCUCUGUGUGGGACCCCUGGCAGCAGUUUUAAGGAAGUUGUGUAUGUGUGUGUGUGUGUGUGUGUGUGUGGUGGAGGAAGGGCACUCACCUUGAACG